UCCAUCAAUUCGACAUGUUUAUAUAACGAUACAUGUGUGUAAACAGAACUACCUUGACUACAGGUGUAGAAGGAUUUAACCCACAGGAGAUAAGCUUGAGGAUUAUAUUCAGGACCCCAUUUGGAUUGGGUCAUAUCUGGAUGGAUUUGGGCAAAUUUUGGCAUGUCUCGGAAACGUUAUUAGUUACUUGGAGAACUACAUGAACUUGACAAUAUUGCAUAAACAACUAAUUUAAAGAAGUAUUUGCACCUGAAAACAUUAUGUUCACCACAGAAUAAAGAGCGAAAAACUAUUCAUUGAGUGUAUUUGUGUAUGUGUUAUUACGGUACAGCAGGAUGGUAAAUCCGACAUUUUAAAUAUGCUACUGAAUAGUACAACUAAUUAAAAAAAAUAAUUUUAAAAAAUACCGGAAAAUUAAGAUUUGAACUCUUGUAUUAUUCAAGUAUGUGAGCUCACAUAUGCUGUCUCCUUUCAGGUACAUGGACGUACUCUAAACUUAGAUAGUGCAAAAACGCGACGUAUACGCAAAUCUUGAUGAUUCGGCCAAAGCUGCAAAAGGCAUAAACAAACGUUCUAUGACUUUAACGGCAUAUUAUAUAAAAACGAUCCAUCAAUUGUGAACAGAAUGUCAUUUUUACAAGCCAGAUCGACACAUUUUAAAACAAAACGUAUUGCUAAAAAAAAUUGUAUAGUAAGAAAGUCAAACAUUGUCAACUUUAAGCAAAUCCAACCCAACAAAAUUUUGGAAGUACAUAAAUAAAUAUAAACUUAAUGAAACGACUAGUACUAAUGGCGUUAACAUUGAUGAUUUAAUAGAUGUUUUAAGAAUUUAUCUAAAACACAUAACACAGUUCGCUCAAUGUUGAUGAAUACGCAUUAAGCAGUUAGACACUUUAUAUUGAUGAAUAACAUGGCCAAUUUACAUUUCUAGACAUACAUAUAGAGAAUAUAUGGUUGGUGACUUUUGAUAUCAUGUGAUAUAAGACGAGUCUGAUAUGGCGUAGGAAAAGGCGAGGCUUGCCGAGCAAUUUCACACGCCAUAUCGGACGAUAAGUUUAUAUGUACUUCUAAGUACACGCGAACCGCUAUUUUCAAAGUGAAUGUGUAGAGUGAAAAUUCCAUACAAUAAAGACAAUAACCAAAUGGAACGGGAGUUUAACAUAGUGCGCAAAUUGGAAGUGAUAAGAGUGAUUUAUUUUUCAACUUGUCCAUCUCCGUAGUAUUCGUUUAGUUGUGAGAUGUUAACGGUUUCCCCGAAAAACAGGCCUUCGCUGCGAAGUUAAAGUGGGUGGGGAACGCGACUGCUUGUGCAUUUCGAGUUGCUGGAACUUUCUAAGGAAGCUGUUUUUGUGCAAUAUUCAGCGAUUUUGCAAGCUGUUUGUUUGGAGUCGGAGAUAUAUAUUGCUGAGAUUAAUGAUGUUGUGUACGUUCUUGUGACCAAUGAUCUGCAUGAUAUCAGUGGGAGAGCAUCCUGAAUCCCACAUAGUCUGCACCGUAUGUUUCCUGGUCGAGUGAAAGUUGCAACCACACAUUUCGAUGGGUCAUGAUCAUUCUCCCAAGUUCUUGUCGAUACAGUUCUAGCCUUAUCAGUUUAACAGGUUAACUAGACUACCAGACUACCAGUGUACACAAACAUUUUCUGUUUUGUUAAAGAUGUGGAGACAGAACCAGUUUUAUGUACAAUUUUGAUUUCAGACACUUAAAAAUUGAAUAGUUCAUGUUUAUUAGUUAUCAUAUGGCAGGUAUUGACUAAGAAAGAAUCUUUAUUAUUUUGAAUUUUUCUUAAAAAUUGAAUUGUUCAUGUAUUAUAACAUAUAAGU